CACCAGAGCCCCCCGCAAGGCAGGAUGGGCUUGCUGUGGCAGGCAACACCAAGGUCGCUACCCCCGACAUGGUUUGACCACACAGUAAUUUGGAGAGACCAAGACAAGUCAGGAAUGCCUCUAGGUGAGGGACUGCUCCAGACAGCGGAUGCUUUAACGUCUUGAGGUACCUCUCACCCUCCAAUGCGCAGUCCAUGGAGUGAGUGCGGGAAGGGCUCCUCUGUGGAAUCCAGCUGCUGCUAAUUGAAGCCGUAGACCUGCUUUGCGAGAGUAUAGAUUCACCGAUGCUCCCGUUCACAUACACUGUGCGUCUCUCUCUCAAUGGGUAGUGUGAUAGCAGAGAAUCCUCUCGUAGUCAGCGCUCUGCCCGGUGGCGUCCUUGUGGCACUAGACCAGGUCUACAAAGGAUCAUGUACACAGAAGGAGGUCUAGAUGGCCACACCAGGCUAUUGCAGGCUGAAGCGAAAUGGAUCAUUUGGACUGGAGCAACAGGUGCUCUGGGUCUGAAUGACCGGAAUGAUCUGUCUUCAUUUCUUUGACUAUUAUUAUUUUUUGCAAAUAUUUUGUAAUAUUGAAUCUUUCUCUUUCUUUCCUCUUUGUUUUCAAUUAUUAUUUUUUGUAUUUAUUGUCUUGUACCUGUAUCUGUCACAAUGUAUGUGAUUUUAUUGUGUGUUACUCUAAUUGGUCAGAGGGAGG